UACAGAGGUCUCAAGCGUUGUUCGGAUUCAUUGGGCGUAAAGGGUGCGUAGGCGGCGCGGUAAGUCGGGUGUGAAAACUCUGGGCUCAACCCAGAGACGCCACCCGAUACUGCUGUGACUAGAGUCCGGUAGGGGAGUGGGGAAUUCCUGGUGUAGCGGUGAAAUGCACAGAUAUCAGGAGGAACACCGGUGGCGAAGGCGCCACUCUGGGCCGGCACUGACGCUGAGGAGCGAAAGCGUGGGUAGCAAACAGG
rnacentral:rRNA from 1 species